GGUCUAGACCCUACCACCCUGAAAGUGCCUCUCUCACCUGAUGUCGGAAGCCAAGCAUGGUUGGGCUGCUUAGUACCUGGGAGGGAGACAACCUGGGAAUACCAUGUGCUGUGUGUAGGCUU
rnacentral:rRNA from 1 species